ACCGGAUAUGCCUACGGGUAAAAGGCUUGCUGCCUGAAGAAGAGCUUGCGUCCGAUUAGCUAGUUGGUGGGGUAAAUGGCUUACCAAGGCGGCGAUCGGUAGCUGGUCUGAGAGGAUGACCAGCCACACUGGGACUGAGACAAGGCCCAGACUCCUACGGGAGGCCGCAGUGGGGAA
rnacentral:rRNA from 1 species